AGAACAUCAGCCACCCACCUGAAUCUGAGACUCUGAAGUCAUGCUCGGAAGCUUCUCGUCACCGACGGAUACGGAAAUGACAGAUGUUUCUGGAGAGGAAGGUGACCUGAGGCACAGUGAGGAAUGUCUUCAUUUGCAGCAGUUCCGAGGGCAAACUGUUAUCCUCUACGCGCACAAGACACUUUUCAUAAAGCUCCUAUGGCACAGAAUACACAUAAUUACAUCAACCGGCUACAAUUUGUUUUAUUUGUGUGGAUUGAACACAUGGCUAUGUAAAUUUUAAAAAAUAUUAUUUGUGUAAACGCCACAUUGAGUUUCAUAAAGCAUUACAAGAAAUGAUUUACCAGUCCUUUCUGAAUCUUCAAGUCUGCGCUUCUAAAAAAAAAAAAAAUAACAUCAAUCAACAUGAGGAGAAACUUGAAGAUAAUCCAGAAAUUGUCCACAUAUUGUGUCGACAAUUUCUACCAACCGCUGCUGUCAAUCAGAGGACAGAUUUGAAGAUGGUCCAGCACUAUUUAAGGAGUGGUGUAAUGCAUUCACCUGGAUAGCAGGAGGCUGACGUGAUCCAUAUUGCACCGAAGACAGAACACAGGACUGCAAGACAGAGCAGCGUAUAAAACCUGAACCAGAGGAGGCAGCAGGUUCCACCCCAUACAUCUCACCAGUUCCUACACAGGAGGAAACAUUUUCAUGUCUACAUCUGAAUUUGAAGUUACACAUUUCAGCGCGGCACCACACAUGCCGCAAAACGCCAGCCGGUUCUGACGUCUACUCGAAAACAUGCAACAUAAUAGAAGAAGGAAAGGGCAGAGAAGGUCCCCAUCUAAGUGCUAGUAAUAGUUGGUUCUUCCCGCAAAGCUGUUC